rnacentral:rRNA from 1 species
GAUUAACGCUAGCGGCAGGCCUAAUACAUGCAAGUCGAACGGCAGCGGGUCCAGCAAUGGAUGCCGGCGAGUGGCGCACGGGUGCGUAACGCGUAUACAAUCUACCUUUGACUGGGGAAUAGCCCCGAGAAAUCGGGAUUAAUACCCCAUAAUAUUGAGAAGGGGCAUCUCUUUUCAAUUAAAGCUCCGGCGGUCUUAGAUGAGUAUGCGUGACAUUAGCUAGUUGGUGAGGCAAUGGCUCACCAAGGCGACGAUGUCUAGGGGUUCUGAGAGGAUUUUCCCCCACACUGGUACUGAGACACGGACCAGACUCCUACGGGAGGCAGCAGUAAGGAAUAUUGGGCAAUGGGCGCAAGCCUGACCCAGCCAUGCCGCGUGAAGGAUGACGGCCCUAUGGGUUGUAAACUUCUUUUGUACGGGAAAAAAUCCCCGGUCGUGUACCGGGGUUGAUGGUACCGUAAGAAUAAGCAUCGGCUAACUCCGUG